rnacentral:lncRNA from 1 species
GUGUAAUGUGUUCAUGCGGCCAAUGUAGAGUCGGAGUCAGGGGUUGGUUGACUUGUCCCAACAGUUGCCUCCCACUCUCAAAUCCAAGGUGAUCUGACGUGUACAUUAUCACGUGGUCUGUCAUGUUAGACGAAGGGAGUCGUCACGUAUUGCCUCGAGCCCUGACUUGACUGUUAGUCUUUUUGUAGUACGAGAGUUCUUCGACUAUUUGGUUGUUUCGAUAGCUGCAGAAUCAUUAUUGGACUGUCAUUUCGAUA